rfam:Hepatitis C virus isolate QC105, complete genome
CAAUAGGGUAGCAGGGGCUCUCAGGAAACUUGGGAUCCCUCCUCUAC